rnacentral:rRNA from 1 species
AUUGAACGCUGGCGGCAGGCCUAACACAUGCAAGUCGAACGAGUGGCGGACGGGUGAGCAAUGUCUCGGCAACUGCCUGAUGGAGGGGGCUCAGUACUGGAAACGGUAGCUAAUACCGCAUACCAUCACCUGUGCCCAGGUGGGAUUAGCUAGUUGGUGGGGUAACGGCUCACCAAGGCGACGAUCCCUACCUGGUCUGAGAGGAUGACCAGCCACACUGGAACUGAGACACGGUCCAGACUCCUACGGGAGGCAGCAGUGGGGAAUAUUGGACAAUGGGCGAAAGCCUGAUGCAGCCAUGCCGCGUGUAUGAAGAAGGCCUUCGGGUUGUAAAGUACUUUCAGCGGGGAGGCGUUACCCGCAGAAGAAGCACCGGCUAACUCCGUGCCAGCAGCCGCGGUAAUAC